rnacentral:lncRNA from 1 species
AGUGGAUAUUUGCAAAAAUAUAAUUUUCCAUUCAUAAAAUCUUUCUGAAAAUCAACAUAUAGCAUAAAAUUUCUUUUCACAUACAUAUAAACUAAAUAUUUAUUCUUUAAACUGAAUAGGCUGAGUUCUGUAGCUUAAAAUCUGAUGAUAUAAUCAAAACUAAAAUAUACUGUAAUCAUAAACAUCUUUAUUCUGUAUACUGCAUUUCUAAAAUCUGAUAAGCUAUGUGAUACUGAAACAUCACACCAAAAAUGUACCCGGAAUAACCAUACUCGUGAAUCGAUUAAUCUCGAUAUACAUAGCAAGGUUAUUCAAUUCUGAAAUUCUGGAAUUCU